rnacentral:rRNA from 1 species
UACGGGGGAUGCAAGCGUUAUCCGGAUUUAUUGGGUUUAAAGGGUGCGUAGGCUGUGAGGUAAGUCAGCGGUGAAAUGCCCCCGCUCAACGGGGUGAAGUGCCAUUGAUACCGCCUUGCUGGAAUGCGGAUGCCGUGGGAGGAAUGUGUGGUGUAGCGGUGAAAUGCAUAGAUAUCACACAGAACACCGAUUGCGAAGGCAUCUCACGAAUCCGCGAUUGACGCUGAUGCACGAAAGCGUGGGUAUCAAACAGG